UAUUUUAAAAUCGUCCUCUGUUAGAAUUCUACUCCUAACCGUCAACAGAGUUUGGUCUGUACAGAACUAACUGCUACACGUAACAACCGGGUAAUUACAGCACCGUGCGAGAGCAACAGCUGCCGCUGCUUCUUCCGUUGCCCUGCUUGCUUACUUUCUCUGUAAAUUAUACAAUUCCAAUUACUCCUCUGCUUCUUCUUCUUCUAAAAAUAAACUUAAAAAUGGAUUAAUUGAAGCUAUUGGAAACACUCCUCUCAUUAGAAUCAACAGCCUUUCUCAAGCCACUGGAUGUCAGAUUCUUGGGAAAGUUGAGUUUUUAAAUCCUGGUGGAAGUAUCGAAGACAGGGUUGCUGUCAAAAUCAUCCAGGAGACCUAAAAAUGAACAAGUUGCUCUUAAGGCCAAAUUGUCUGGCACUCCUUUGCUUUUGGAAGCUGGGAUCAACUGUUGCAAGACUAAUAGCAGAGCUCUCAGCAC